rnacentral:rRNA from 1 species
AGUUAGUGGCAGACGGGUGAGUAAUGCAUAGGAAUCUACCUAGUAGUAUAGGAUAGCCACUAGAAGUGGUGGGUAAUACUGUAUAAUCCCUGCGGGGGAAAGAUUUAUCGCUACAUGAUGAGCCUAUGUUAGAUUAGCUAGUUGGUGGGGUAAUGGCCUACCAAGGCAGUGAUCUAUAGCUGGUCUGAGAGGAUGAUCAGCCACACUGGAACUGAGACACGGUCCAGACUCCUACGGGAGGCAGCAGUGGGGAAUAUUGGACAAUGGGCGCAAGCCUGAUCCAGCUAUGCCGCGUGAGUGAGGAAGGCCUUAGGGUUGUAAAACUCUUUCAGUGGGGAAGAUAAUGACGGUACCCACAGAAGAAGUCCCGGUAAACUCCGUGCCAGCAGCCGCGGUAAUACGGAGGGGGCAAGCGUUGUUCGGAAUUAUUGGGCGUAAAGGGCAUGUAGGUGGUUUGGUUAGUUAAAGGUGAAAUGCCAGGGCUUAACCCUGGAGCUGCUUUUAAUACUGC